rnacentral:rRNA from 1 species
AGAGUUUGAUCCUGGCUCAGAUUGAACGCUGGCGGCAUGCCUUACACAUGCAAGUCGAACGGCAGCACGGGAGCAAUCCUGGUGGCGAGUGGCGAACGGGUGAGUAAUACAUCGGAACGUGUCCUGUAGUGGGGGAUAGCCCGGCGAAAGCCGGAUUAAUACCGCAUACGCUCUACGGAGGAAAGGGGGGGAUCUCAGGACCUCCCGCUACAGGGGCGGCCGAUGGCAGAUUAGCUAGUUGGUGGGGUAAAGGCCUACCAAGGCGACGAUCUGUAGCUGGUCUGAGAGGACGACCAGCCACACUGGGACUGAGACACGGCCCAGACUCCUACGGGAGGCAGCAGUGGGGAAUUUUGGACAAUGGGCGAAAGCCUGAUCCAGCAAUGCCGCGUGUGUGAAGAAGGCCUUCGGGUUGUAAAGCACUUUUGUCCGGAAAGAAAACCUCCGCCCUAAUAUGGUGGGGGGAUGACGGUACCGGAAGAAUAAGCACCGGCUAACUACGUGCCAGCAGCCGCGGUAAUACGUAGGGUGCAAGCGUUAAUCGGAAUUACUGGGCGUAAAGCGUGCGCAGGCGGUCCGCUAAGACAGAUGUGAAAUCCCCGGGCUUAACCUGGGAACUGCAUUUGUGACUGGCGGGCUAGAGUAUGGCAGAGGGGGGUAGAAUUCCACGUAGCAGUGAAAUGCGUAGAGAUGUGGAGGAAUACCGAUGGCGAAGGCAGCCCCCUGGGCCAAUACUGACGCUCAUGCACGAAAGCGUGGGGAGCAAACAGGAUUAGAUACCCCGGUAGUCC